rnacentral:rRNA from 1 species
UACGUAGGGUCCGAGCGUUGUCCGGAAUUAUUGGGCGUAAAGGGCUCGUAGGCGGUUUGUCGCGUUGUUCGUGAAAACCUGAGGCUUAACCUUGGGCGUGCGGGCGAUACGGGCAGACUGGAGUACUGCAGGGGAGACUGGAAUUCCUGGUGUAGCGGUGGAAUGCGCAGAUAUCAGGAGGAACACCGGUGGCGAAGGCGGGUCUCUGGGCAGUAACUGACGCUGAGGAGCGAAAGCGUGGGGAGCGAACAGG